AGGUGGGGCCCUUAGCCCAGUGAGGAGAGCAUCAGGGAAGGAGACAGACAUAGGCUGCUCCCUGUUCCUGAAUGAGAUGAUGCCCUGGACCAGUGAAAACCUGACCCAGAGGAGGGACUCAGGUUACCAGAACUGCCGGCUGCAGAGAACCCUGAGGAACUGGAAGAGCCGGGCAGCAACCUGAGCCCAAGUGAGCCUGAUACUGAGGGUUAGCUGGGGCUACCGGCGGCUGAAUACCCCAACAAGUUGGAGGAACCAGAGGGACCCACUGGAGAGACCGGGUACAAAGUAGCCCAGGGGUGGAACUGGACAGUGUGGUGAGUUAGUGUUUGGUCAGCGUGUUGUGGACAGAUCCCCACUGACCCAGUGGCAGGAUGCUCCACCACUGUCAGGGUCCUGGGCUGGAACGCAGUGGAGUCGGGUGGGCCUUCGUUCCCCUGCCACCCUGCCUUGGGGUGGCAGAAGACUGAUAAAGUGCUAAGGACUCUAGCUGGUGCUCUGCUGCCUGAGGGGCACGCCACAGGCUUUGGCCAGCGCUCCCGUGUCAUGCCAAUUGUGAUGUCCCACCUCCCUCUGCUAUUUCCCGUCGUCAGAGAGGUGUGACCAGGGCCUUUCAGAGAGGCAGUAGCUCCCCACCGCCCCCCAGCGGCUUGGCAGACCAACUGAGACCGUGCUACAGCGCUGUACAGACACAGUAUGAAGUCAAGGUCAUUGCCCUGAAGAGAUUAUGUAAAUUUACAAUGUACAGCUGAAAAGCUACCAUCUUGCAACCCCUUGUAUACAUGCUUCUCUUUACUACCAUGAAUGGACUCACUGAUUUCAAGCGUAGGACAAGACAGGAGUAGAACAGCAACAAGCAAGAGUGCUUCAAACCACAUCUUGCCACAAAUAUGACUGAGUGUCUUCUGUUGUCUUUCUCCUCUUCAGCCAAUACAUUUGUUCGGGAGGGGCAAGAACUAGGGCUUACAGGUCUUUUGGAAGUUUAUUCUAAGGAGGGACCCAAAGGAUGAAAGGUGGCGGGCAUGGCAGUGCCUGGCACAGAAUUCUGCACAGAAAAAAAUGCUUGGGAGCAAGUAUGAGCUGCUGCUAUUGUGGACUUCAGCAUCUCCCCCUCCAUACCCGAACUAGAUAAGGAGGAGAAAGAAGAGGACUCGGGAUGGCAUGUUCCAGGAGAUCCUGCAAGCCAGUGCUGCAUCAGAGAACAAGACCAGGACCUGGAGGAUGACUCUUGCAGAUAGCAUGGAGAAGGAUAGAGUAAAGAGGAGAAAGACACAAGAAAAGGAGAGGGACAUGCAGCAGGAGAUGCUUGCACUUCUCAGACAGAAACAGAGAUUUUGCAGACUCUGGUAGACCUGCAGGUUCAACAAUCCCAUGCUCACCUCCUUCUGCAGCCCAUAAUGAACUCAGAUAUCUGGACCUUGUUAUACCCUCUCCCCAACAUUCUAUGUGGCAUCAGGGGUCGGUGCACUACCCUUAUCACUCCACCUGGGUUGGGGGAGAGGACACUAAAGACAAUCAAUCACAGCUUCACAUAUGCUGACCUGUGAAAGCGUGUAUGUGUACCUGUAAAAUGGAGUGUUCUUUCCCAUUCAUUAGUUCUGUUCCCUUAAUUUAUUACGUUUUGAA